rnacentral:rRNA from 1 species
UACGGAGGAUGCGAGCGUUAUCCGGAUUUAUUGGGUUUAAAGGGUGCGUAGGCGGAUGGAUAAGUCAGUGGUGAAAUUCUGCAGCUUAACUGUAACAGUGCCGUUGAUACUGUUUGGCUAGGAUUUGGUUGUAGUGUGCGGAAUGUGUGGUGUAGCGGUGAAAUGCUUAGAUAUCACACAGAACACCGAUUGCGAAGGCAGCACACUAAGUCAUUAUUGACGCUGAGGCACGAAAGUGUGGGGAUCAAACAGGA